CCGGCCGCGUUCGGCGCACCGGCGGUCGCGUCCGCUGCCGGCGGACCGGGCCGUACCGGCACGGUCGCGCCGUUCGACCGGAAGCCGGCCGGG
rnacentral:tRNA from 1 species